AUGCCUGCUCCGGCAGUGGGAGCUCAGUGCCAGGCUGUGCGCGUCCAGUCCUCGCACUGCUGUGUGUUCUGGUCAGAAUGGAAGUGGUGGCCUCCACUAGGAGCUUCUGUGCUUUGGGAGAAUUUGUCCAAACCGUGGUCCCGUUUGUUCUCCAAUCCUGUGUGGACACCAUGACCCAGUUGUUCACCAUCGUGUCGCUUUGGGGAAAAGACGAGCCCGCCCGGUUCCUCUCUGUGCACCUCAUGCCUGGGGCUCCGUCCCGUCCUGGGUGGGUUUUCACCCGCACCGCUGGCCCCUCCCCCGGGAGCGUUGGUGGAGCCGGCUUUCUCAGCCAGGAGCCUGUUGCUGGGUCAGCGGCUGGAGCUCAAGGUCGGCUCAGGGGACUUUCUCGUGCUGGAGGUUGGCUGCGGAGCAGCCUGCGUUUCUCGGAAAACAGGGCCCAGGGCCUGCUCCACGCCGCUGUCCACGUCUUCACCAUCCCCUCGUUGCAGGUUCGAGGCCGAGCUCAGACCUGUGGAGCAGAAGCUGAGUGCGCUGCGGUCCCCGCUGGCCCAGAGGCCCUUCUUCGAGGUGCCCUCACCCCUGGGCGCCGUGGACCUGUACGAGUAUGCAUGCGGGGAUGAGGACCUGGAGCCACUGUGACGCCACCCAUGAGAACGUCGCCACAGGGCCGCUCCACACGUGCCACGGCCACCACUGGGACACCGCCGCUUGUGUAAAAACUGUUGUCUUUUGUGGAAAAUGAGUGCGUUUGCAUGGAAUGAUAAAUUUUUAUUUAUUCACA